rnacentral:rRNA from 1 species
ACGCGUGGAACCUUACCAGGUCUUGACAUCCUUCGCUACUUCUAGAGAUAGAAGGUUCCCCUUCGGGGGACGAAGUGACAGGUGGUGCAUGGUUGUCGUCAGCUCGUGUCGUGAGAUGUUGGGUUAAGUCCCGCAACGAGCGCAACCCUUGAUCUUAGUUGCCAGCAUUCAGUUGGGCACUCUAAGGUGACUGCCGGUGACAAACCGGAGGAAGGUGGGGAUGACGUCAAAUCAUCAUGCCCCUUAUGACCUGGGCUACACACGUGCUACAAUGGACGGUACAAACGGUUGCCAACCCGCGAGGGGGAGCUAAUCCGAUAAAACCGUUCUCAGUUCGGAUUGUAGGCUGCAACUCGCCUACAUGAAGCCGGAAUCGCUAGUAAUCGCGGAUCAGCAUGCCGCGGUGAAUACGUUCCCGGGCCUUGCACUCACCGCCCGU